GGGAGAUCAGACCAAGCAACGGUCUUCAUGUAUUAUUGUCUCCCUGUAUCAUCAUCAUCCUCUCACAAGAAGAGAUGACAAUUUCAGGUAUUGUGCUAGUCAUUGGGAUUGCAGAGACCAAGUAGGAAAUCAUCUUUUCACUCAAGAAAUCUUCAAUCUAACUGAAGGAGCAUCCUGCUCUCCUCUCCAGAUGAUUGGGUCUGGAUCAUUCUCAGCAUUCCCAUCUGGAUGAGCCUAUGAUCUAUUCUGUUAUGGGAAAAGCGGCGUUCUUCAUUCCUCUGACAGCCUUACUCCAUUCCGAGUCUCGGCUACUGUAUCUCCAAUUUAUUCAUCUUGAGCAAUGGGAUUCCCCGACAACUUGUCUUCACCAUACCCUGCCUAGAAUGUCUUCUUUAAUCAAAAUUCAGCUCCAAAUGCCUCCGUUGAUCAAGUGAAGUGGCCUUCCCACAGACUAUUGACAAUCUGUCUCCAGCGUGAUUUCAUAAGUUUCCGUUUAUUCUCUUUCCCAAUCAAGGGAGAGUCCCAGCUUUCACCCAGAGUUGGGUCUCAUCCUAAGCUUUGGCCACUUAACCAUCGGCGAUUCUGUAAUUGCUCGAGCAACAAACAUGCUUACAUCUCAGCAAGAAAAGGAGUAUUUAAAUCAUCUCCAUCUUUUAAACAACUGAUUUCUCUACAAAGAGAGGAAAACCCAUGGGGAAUCCAGUGACUACCUUGUCACUCAGGACAGUUUGGACUCAAAAUCCACAACUUACCAGCAUAGAUUCAUUGAAGAGAGUUUUUAAAAUUGGUGAAAUGAAAAGAGGGAGUUUGAGUGACUUAUUAAAUGUGACAUUGAUAAAUAAUAGGGAAAGAAACAGACAAAAUAACACUAAUAUUUGUGCAUAAAUUUAAUGUUGAAAAUGAGUCAUUAAUGGGCAGGUGGUUGUCGUCAUCUUUAUCACUAUCUUCACUCACAUCAAGAUGAUCAUUAUUAUUAGUCUUCCAUUUAUAAGGCAAGCAUGCUCUGCCUCCAAAGUAGCUUUGAGCCAUUGCCUUUUUGAUUCUUGCAAUAAACUUGUGCAGGAGAACUGCCAAGAGUACAGAUCUCAUUUUCUAGAUGAGGAAAUUGAGAUGCAGAGAAAUUAAGGAACACUUCAAUCAAUCAAGGUGCUAUGUUAGCUUGGUGUUAGGGACACAGUUCAAAAUGAAGCAAUCUCUGCUGGCAAAGUGAUUCAACUUAAAAAAUUAGCCAACAGCAGAGCUGAGUUCAGAGUCCAUGGCCACCUGAUUCUAGGUCUUCUGCUAUUCCUGUUGGCCAGGCUCUAUUCAAAUAUUGAUUGAUAGAUUUCACCUUGUACUUAUGAUUUUUUCUUAAUACCAUUUUUCCAGUUAUAGUUUUUAAUAUUCAUUUUUGUAAGAUUUAGAGUUCCAUAUUUUUGUUCCCUUCCACCCUUGUUUCCCCCUUCCCAAGAUAGCAAAAAAUCUGAUAUAGAUUA